AGAGAAUAUCACAGACACAAGACAAGCUAUAUCUGCUCUCUACAGGACUCAUUCUCAAGGGUAUCUGGCUCUGAGGAAACAAACAGAGAUCCAGUAGUGGACCCUGAGGAGAGAUGGCACAUAUGGCUCUUAUAACAGCUUUUCCUCUGAUGCAUCUUCUGAUGGUACAACUUGUAACUGGAACAAUUGUAUAUGCAGAAGCUACUGAAGAGCAACAUGUGGGUCUGGAACUUUCUUGGGAUCAAAAAUCAGAACAAUUUGAAAGAAAUCACAUCACUGGUAAAAGAAUUAUAGACUGUACUGAGGAGAUGGUUAAGGUUAAUAAGAAUAACUCUUGCAAACCAGUCAAUACUUUUAUUCAUAGUGAUAAAAGUAAAGUCAAUAAAGUGUGUAAGAAAGGAACUUUUUUUAAUUGCACAGAAAAAUUUAAUUAUAAAUGUUGUUUUAGAAGUAGUGUUAAAUUUAAUUUGACUGAAUGUAAGAAAACUAAGUCAAAGGCAUCAUGUAAAUAUGACGUUCUUAAAAAGAAAGCAUAUGUGGUACUUGGUUGCAAUAGGGAAGAUCAAGCUGUUCAUUUGGAAAAAACUAUGAAUUCAAAGUCUAGUGUCUGUGCAGGGAACAGAGUAAUCUGAAGGGCCCACUUCCCUUCAGCCUCUGCGAUUGGAUCACAAGAGGAAUGAUGAAUCAUUCUUGCUCAUGCCCCCAUUUUGGUUUUUCUCAUUUCCCCUUACCCAGCCUCCCAGUAGAUUCUUCUGAGGAACCUAUUAGAGGUGUAUAUUUUAAAAUUAACUUCAUAAAAAUUCUGAACUUAUAAAACACCAAAAAAAUUCCAUAUACAAAGUGAGACCAAAAAUAGAAUUACGUGUGAAACCAUGGAUCUCUAGUAUAUAGUUUUUUUUUAAAGAAUAUAAUAAAUUUGACAUGUUACUUUCCCAGAUGUUCUGCUUAUCUGUUUCCUUCCUAACAUCCUUCACUUGUCUUUGCAUUUUAAAAAAAUGCUUCUAUAAGAAAUGAUAACCUGGGCAAGUCACUUAACCCCAAUUGCCUUU